AACAUAGGUAGAAGUAGUUUGUUUGGAGAUGCUACCUACAAACCAUUUGGGUGGAAGCAUGCUGCUGAGUUGUGGAGAUGCCCUAGCUCAGAAUCCAGGAAGUAAUUGCAGUGCUCAUAUGAGGAAGAUGCUAUUGCAGAUACUUUAUCCUAUGAACACAAGUGCAGGGAAAAAAUGAACCCCAAAGGGACUGGGAACUUGUAUAGAGACUGUGUCCAUCAGUGGAGUCCAGACUUCAUUCUCCCAGGAGAUUAGGACGUAGGUAUUUCUAACAUACUAUUAGUAAUGUAUAUCAUUACAUACUGGGUAAAAGAUGUUUGACAAAUAUUCCAAAACUAGAAAAUUCUAGGUUUAUGUUUGCUUUGGGCAUAUUCAUUUGUUCCUCUUUGUCUCUAUUUAGUCUGUAUUAAUUACAUGAGUACACAUGAUCUUUUCCACAAACACAUAGGAUGAUCUUAGUUUGAACUGUCUGUCUAGUGGGUAAUGACCAAGUGCUAAAGAGCAGUAAGGAUAAGACCUCUUACAAUUUCCAAAGAUAACAGAUAAAAACCAAUCACUAGGACUAAUUGCUUUUGAAUCCAGAUACUGUGAGUCUCUCUUGUUUGUCCAGACUGACUUGCUGUUGAUGAGAGUAGAGCUGAUACUUCUUUGUAGAAAUCAGAUGCUCUUACCUUCUUGUUCAGACCAGUCAGGAUGUGAAUGGUUCUGUUCUGUGCUAGAAAAAUGACCAUCCUUUAGCCUACCUCGGUGCCAGGUGGAAGGCAAACUCAGUUCUGUCUCUAUAAAAUCACCACAACUUUGGUUGCAGUUUCCUCAUUUUGGAC
rnacentral:lncRNA from 1 species